AGAAGUUUUGCCGUUAGCAUUUUUUGCUUUGAGUAUCUAGUGAUGGAGAAUGCUCUAAAAAAUACAAGGAGACAGGAGGAUGCUUUAUCUAUUUGGCUUAGUCACUGGUUCAGGGUGAAGUUUCAUAAUUUAUUCUGAUAAUCUGGAGGGGAUGACCUCCUUCACAGCACUGUCAAAGUCUGCCUUGAACAAGCUCAUUUCACUAUAUAACUGCCUAAAGACAAGACUGAUUAUUUAAGGAUUUCAGGGAUAUCAUUUGGGGAAUAACUCACCAGGUAGAGAAAGUUUGACCUGAUAUGUUAACAGGCACAACAAGAACUUAUUUCAGUGCUUUCUCACCAUCUGCCCCUUCUCUGAGAGUUUAGCCUUUCUUAGGAUACUUCCUUUCCCAGGCUAGAAAAGAUUGAUUGUAUUCAUAUCGCAAAGUAAAGGCUCCUCCAAUUCUAUCAGAUGUGGAGGCAACAGAAAAUGACUCAUGUUAUUUUUCUCUCACUUCACAGCAUCAAGAACCCUUCUUGUUUAUGUGUGGGCCAUGGUGGGUUAGCUUAAGGAACUGUCAAAUUAAAAUGAAAGGAAAGCAAGUUGGGGCAAGAAAAUUCUCACUCUGAAUGUGAAAGAAAAUAGCAGUGUUCUUCUCUCUGGCAAAGAUUUGUGUAUUGUUGGGGGAAGAUUCAUGUUAUUUCUCAGGUAGACUUUACUUUUUGAGAUUCUGUGUGUGUGUGUGUGUGUGUGUGUGUGUGUGUGUCGGCUGGUGGGGGGUUAGAGGCAGAUAGAAUGUAGUUGUUUAUGAGUUUAUACUUUCUCUUUAGCAUAAUGAUGCCUUGUUUAUUUUCUCAGAAUGUAACAAUAAAAUUAGGAAUGGAGAGGAAUUCAGAGGCCCAUGUUGCAGUUCAUGGUAAAGUUUUACCCAAAUAUUUCCUUCAGAAACAUUUAGUCCUAGCAAGCCAAAUAAAUUCUUACCUGCAACUGGUAUCAGAAAAAGAAAUCAGGAGGUGGGGACUGUAGACCCCGAUGCUGCAUCUGUUUACAGUCUUUCUUUUCCAAGGUUUUAGGGUUCAUGAAUAACAUGAGGGAAUUUUGAGAGAGCUACCACAUCAGUACUUUGGCAUGCAUUAACUGUUCCACAGGAAAACUAGCGUUGCUUCAGGGCUAUUUUUGUUUGAAAUGGCACACAUACAAAAAAAAAAAAAGACUUUUGGAACAUGUUUUGAGGGCUGUCACCUGAAAUCAGCCUUUGCUGAAAGAGUAUUUAGUUUGAUAAGCGGGAUUUCUUGCUUCUCGCAUCCCAGAGUGUAAAUUCUGCAGCGAUUCCUGGGUGUAUGUUUUCAGCACCAGGGACAGCAAACAACCCCCUGAACUGAAGGGGCUUGCUCUCCUGAUUGACCUCCCAGACUAGGAAUGAGUUAUUUUGUUUUCCUUUAUUUCCUAUCUACCGGGGCCUCAACUUGGAAAACUUUAUUCUUAAGGUGCUUACAUCUUUUAUUUAUUACCAAGCCUAGCUUAGCUGUCUCUGUCACAUUCUUGACCUCCUAACAAAUGGGUUUGGAGUAACACUCCCAGGCCUCCUGGCUCAGAGAAGUAGAAAGAAAUACACUAGACUUCAUUUGAAGGGCACAUUUUAGAGUAGGCUCCCCCUACACAAGUCUUUAUAACAUACCACUGACUCGUAAACCCCUAAAUGAAGGACUGCUUAUACACAAUCACUUUCCUUUUAAAAUUUCUGCACAUUUCUCACAAUGUACAAGUCUAUGUUUGACUCAGUGUGCAUCUGGAGGCAAUAUUUCACAGCAGUUGAGCAGAAGCUAUGAAGUUUGGGGACAGAAAAGAUCCCAGUGAUGCUGCUGUUAUUCAUUUUGGAGACUCACUGGGGGCACUUCUUUGAUUCUCAGCAUCCACCCUUCAACCCUGAGUGCUCUUCAACAGCUGUUUUUGCCUUAAACAAUUACAAUAAGAAUGCAAAUGACUCCUUGUGGCAUUCUUCAGGCCAGACUGAAGGGUGCACUGAGAAAACAAGGGUAGUAGAAGCACAUGUUGUCACAUUGCUUUGUGAUUGGCCAGUUUUUAUAUAGCACAAUGACACAAAGAUAUCAUCUUAGAGUCGGCACUGUCUACUCUUAACUAAUUGUCAGCAUCUUCUCCACUCAUGUCAGGAUGAAUUCUGUGUUGUGAAGGCAAGUCAGUCACCGCAGGUUUCAUCGUAAAUAUUGCCUUCUAUCUCACAGAUGUUAGAAAACCUCCAUUUUGAAUGCCUCUGUACCAUCCAAGGCUCUGAAUUUCCCCUAUAUCUUAUCCCUUUCUUUCCAUUCCCUUUUCAUGUUGCUUAUCAUAACAUCCAUAACAUUUAGUGGUGUAAGACAAUAAGGGGUUUCUUUUAGGAAUAAAUGAGGUGGAAAAAGUAGGCCAGAGCCAGAUCUUAGAGGGGCAAGUUCAGUGGAACUAUGAUCUCUAACUUGGGAGUAGGUGUAAGAUGUAGCCAUCCAUUCCUUCCAUUCCUUGUCCUCUUGAGUGAAUCUCAUUCCAGUGCUCACACUUGCCCUGCAAAAAAGGCCAUGGCACAAGAUUCUCUAGAUUACUUGUAUGAAGACUGGAGGUGAGCAGCAUCCAACACCUCUGUUAGAGUUCUUUAGAAUAGAGGAGUUUGUCUUAUAUUUAAAUCCAGGGACCUUCCUAUAUUUAAAAAGUUUAUAAAUAAUAUGUACAGAAAGAACGUAUGGGGAUAGGAAAGCUUAAUAAUACAAGUUAUUUUCCCUUAGAACAGAGAGGAAGGAGCUGCAAAGUGACUACUAAUGGAGGAACAAUCUGCUGGCUGGGGGAUAUGUGGCCUGAGACUAGAGAUGCAGAGCAGGCAUCUCUAGAAGGAGAGAUGAUGCCAAUAGAAGCCCCAGGAGGGAACUGGCCAGUGAAUACAAUUUUAUAAAAGUUCUCUGUACUUUUUCUGAAAAAAUUCCUAAAAUUUUCAAGGGCGCGUCUAGCUCUCUGCCUCUUUAGAGGUGAGCUCAGUGCUACUUCUGGGUUCUUAAGGCAAAUGCCCUACAAACACCAAAGUCUUGUAUUUUCCACUCUCGGCCGGCACUGGCUAAGUGGGAUUUUUUUUUUCCCUUCCCUAAGUGAAAGGGACUUGUUUUCAGGAGAAGUGUCCUUUAAACAUCCAGCUAAAACUGGAAGUAAUUUUUUGCAUGAAUGGCUUUUUACAGCUAGGUCUACAGCAGAACAAAACUUGUAUUAAACUAAGUGCUACUUUACAUAUCUUAUUUCAAGGGAAAUGAAGGAUUUAUUGUCGUGUAAAUGAUAUACACUGAUUUGUUUCCUACUGGACAUUACAUGUCCCUUUAUCUUUAGGCUGAUGUUGUGCAGCAAACUUUCAAUAUCUGGAAAAUCAGCUGGUACCUACUUCAGUGCAUUAUUAGGAUAUUACGUUCCCUGAGAGGAAUUUUGCCAAUGAAGUUUAGGUACUGUUGUAACUGAUUUCCAUCCCCCCUCCCUAAGCUUCUGUACUAAGUAUAUGUAAAGCUAUUAUAUCUUGUCUGAUCCCACGUGUUCGUGUGUGUUUCCCAAUGUUUGCAUAAAUAUAUUGGCAAUCUGAAGGGUUAGCUGGAUUAUGGCAACUGCUGAACAAUGGUAUGUGUGGCAUGUGGGACACCUGAUACCUGUGCACACCUGUUCUGAGGCCAAGCUAAUUUUACAGAUAUUGGAAAAGGAAAAACAGCAGCAACGUGUGGCUUGAAUUGAAGAAAGCUUAACAAUGAAUACGGUAUUGCCAAGUCAUCAUUUAUGGGUGGAGACGUUGACCACAGCAGAGCUGAGGCUUCUGGAAAAUGCUGAUCAUGAUUGCUUCCUAUCAUUUGGAUCCCAAAGUUGAUAACUUAACAUAAGUGUCUGAGGUUUUAGUAGAACUGGGUUUUACUAAUCGUAUCUCCUCCUUGAGGUGCUGUUUCCUUCAUUCUUUUCCUUUAUGACAGGUGAAUGCAUUGGCUAUGCUAAUUUUAUUUGCAUCCUGGCGAGUCUUGGAGAAUCAAUCUAGUUAAAGUGAUGACUGCAUUUGCCUUUGGAGAAGAGGUUUAUUGUCUAAGUAAAACUCUUAUGUGAAGGUGUCCUUUAUGCAAAAAAAAAAAAAAAAAAUUCUAACUUGAUAAGAUGGCCACAGGUUAGAGGGGUGUGUUCUCAGUUGAUAUUAAGGGAUAUGUUGAAAAGGCAAAUGCCCAUCCUCUAUUCUUCAUCUCACCCUUCCUUUCUCCCCAACCUCAAAAGAAAACAGAAAAUUAUUUUUUUAAACUGUAUUAAUAAUUUAUGUUUAAUACAAAAGGAUGAUUUAAUGGUAUCACCAAAGGUCGUUUCUCCCAUUGUGCGUGUCUUUCAGUCUCAGCCCCAUACCCAUCACCCCAUUCUUCACCCUCAUGCUUCCAUCCCAAGGCAAACGUAUGUCUUCAUCGGAAUCUAUGGGUGUUGAAGUUAAAUGUGGGGGCAGAGAUUUAACACCAUGACACUAAUACAAAUCAACCAUUCUUCACUUUCAAAUGGUUAAUCACUACAGGAAGGCGAACUCUUCUCUUGGUUUUUGUUUAAAAGCAUUUUAUACAUAUAUAUGUAUAUAUGUGUGUGUAUGUAUGGACAUAGGUAUGUAUAUGCACAUGUACAUGUAUAUAUGUAUAUACCCAUCUUCAAUAUAAAUAUAUCGUAAGUGAGAGUUGUAAAUACUCCUUGGUCAUGUGUCUGUCUUUCUCAUAGUAUCAUAUCUUCAAUGUUAUGUUCACAACUCCAUUUAUUGAUUGAUGAAAUUGUGUGUAGACCUGUAUCCUCCUGACAUAGUUUAUGUAGGGUCUCUUCUCAAAUAAAGUAUAAAACAACAA